UUCUACAGUGCUUAUGACUCCCCAAUGCACGAAGAAUCCACUGCAAGAGAGAGGAAUGCUUAGAUACAUUUCGGCAUUGUGCUGAAACCUAAUGCUGCAAACAGCCUGCUGAGGAUGAGUAUCUUCAUCGUAUCAGCCUUCUUCCAUGAUUCACUUGCCCAAGAACACUUUCUUUCCUUCAAUGCUGAUUACACAAAACUAUUGAAAAAUAUGAAAAAGUUGUGUAUUUGUAAUGUUUAUGUUAAAAUAAUCUCAAUGCAUGAAUUCAUUGUG